rnacentral:rRNA from 1 species
ACCAUGCAGUCGAACGAUGAUCCCAGCUUGCUGGGGGAUUAGUGGCGAACGGGUGAGUAACACGUGAGUAACCUGCCCUUGACUCUGGGAUAAGCCUGGGAAACUGGGUCUAAUACCGGAUAUGACUCCUCAUCGCAUGGUGGGGGGUGGAAAGCUUUUGUGGUUUUGGAUGGACUCGCGGCCUAUCAGCUUGUUGGUGGGGUAAUGGCCUACCAAGGCGACGACGGGUAGCCGGCCUGAGAGGGUGACCGGCCACACUGGGACUGAGACACGGCCCAGACUCCUACGGGAGGCAGCAGUGGGGAAUAUUGCACAAUGGGCGCAAGCCUGAUGCAGCGACGCCGCGUGAGGGAUGACGGCCUUCGGGUUGUAAACCUCUUUCAGUAGGGAAGAAGCGUAAGUGACGGUACCUGCAGAAGAAGCGCCGGCUAACUACGUGCCAGCAGCCGCGGUAAUACGUAGGGCGCAAGCGUUAUCCGGAAUUAUUGGGCGUAAAGAGCUCGUAGGCGGUUUGUCGCGUCUGCUGUGAAAGACCGGGGCUCAACUCCGGUUCUGCAGUGGGUACGGGCAGACUAGAGUGCAGUAGGGGAGACUGGAAUUCCUGGUGUAGCGGUGAAAUGCGCAGAUAUCAGGAGGAACACCGAUGGCGAAGGCAGGUCUCUGGGCUGUAACUGACGCUGAGGAGCGAAAGCAUGGGGAGCGAACAGGAUUAGAUACCCUGGUAGUCCAUGCCGUAAACGUUGGGCACUAGGUGUGGGGGACAUUCCACGUUUUCCGCGCCGUAGCUAACGCAUUAAGUGCCCCGCCUGGGGAGUACGGCCGCAAGGCUAAAACUCAAAGGAAUUGACGGGGGCCCGCACAAGCGGCGGAGCAUGCGGAUUAAUUCGAUGCAACGCGAAGAACCUUACCAAGGCUUGACAUGAACCGGAAAGACCUGGAAACAGGUGCCCCGCUUGCGGUCGGUUUACAGGUGGUGCA